CACCUGAGUUUAGACUUACAAAGCAAUCAUUCCUACUAAAGACCGCUGCAAAUGUAUUGAUUAAGAAAGUGAAACUGUCAGGAUCCAGCAGGUGGAGCUGUUUCUCUCCUUUCCCAGGUGCUGAGUGGUCGACCCAAGUUUUUUGGGCCCUUUCCCAUCAUAGCCAUUCUGAGCCCCUUGACCAUUCGCCUGUGACUUCCCACGUCCCUUCCUGUCCACCCUGUGUUCCAUGUCUCCCGGAUCCAACCCGUGUCUUCUAGUCCCUUGUGUCCCUCACCUGACCCUCCUCCACCACCUCGGAUGGUGGAUGGAGGCCCUAUGUUCUCCGUGCACCGUAUCCUGGACUUCCGUCGUUGAGGCUAAGGCCUCCAGUAUUCGGUGGAUUGGACGGGUUAUGGUCCCGAGGAGCGCUCAUGGGUUCCCCAGUCCGUUAUCAGGGACCCUGAUCUCAUCACUAACUUUGAGAGGCAGUCUGCCUCCUCUUCGGGUCGGCCGCCUGGGGGCGACCGUUAAGGUGGGGUAGUAUCAGGAUCCAGCAGGUGGAGCUGUUCCUCUCCUUUCCCAGGUGCUGAGUGAUCCCAGCUGGAGCCAAUUACCUCAUCAAGGCAGCAGUACUUAGGAGGAUUGGAGCCACCAGAUGGACAUCAGCUGAUUCUGUUUAUGGAGUGCAAUCUCUUCCGCAUCUUUGAAGACCUAGGAAGUUCCUUGUCGGUUCAUACAUUCAAGUUCUCUACUCCAGGUCUUCACUGGUUUGGGUGUCCGUCUCCCCGGGUGUGGCCACUCCUCUCUCCACCGCUGCAAUAGCUCCAGCACUGGAUUCUGCCAAGCCGCUCAGCUCUCCUGUGGAACGAAAACACCACAAACCCACCGCACAACUCACAACCUUCAACCAUCCUGAAUACUUGCCUCUCUCUCAGGACCGGUCCCUCAGCAGCUCCAUGGCGAUCCUCCUCGAAUCCUUGCUUCCUCUUAGUCUCUCGAUUCCUCUGGUCCAGAAGAAAAU